rnacentral:misc_RNA from 1 species
UUAAGUUCAGCGGGUAUUCCUACCUGAUCCGAGGUCAACCUUGUGGUAAUGGAUGUCCCGCGGGGGGGACGGCGACCGGGUCUGGACUUCUAGCCGUGUACGUGCCCGAAAGCUCAGUGUACAGGAGUCGUCGCAGACGCCGUCAUUAUCUUUGGGGAGGAGUGGGAUAAGCGCUGCAUCCAACAACAAGCCGGGCUUGA